UACGAACUGUGCGAACGUUUAUUCGGAAUCACUGGGCUUACAGGGUGCGUAGGCGGCUUGUUAAGUAGGGUGUGAAAGCCCCCGGCUCAACCGGGGAAUUGCGCCCUAAACUGGCGAGCUGGAGUGAGAUAGGGGUGUGUGGAACUUCCGGUGGAGCGGUGAAAUGUGUUGAUAUCGGAAGGAACGCCGGUGGCGAAAGCGACACACUGGGAUCUUGUCUGACGCUGAGGCACGAAAGCCAGGGGGAGGCGAACGGG
rnacentral:rRNA from 1 species